UACAGAGGGUGCUAGCGUUGUUCGGAUUCAUUGGUCGUAAAGCGCGUGUAGGCGGGGCAUUAUGUCGGAUGUGAAAGCCCUUGGCUUAACCAAGGAAUUGCAUUCGAAACUGAAGCUCUUGAGUACGGGAGAGGGAAGCGGAAUUCCCAGUGUAGAGGUGAAAUUCGUAGAUAUUGGGAGGAACACCGGUGGCGAAGGCGGCUGCCUGGACCGAUACUGACGCUGAGACGCGAAAGCGUGGGGAGCAAACAGG
rnacentral:rRNA from 1 species